GAGUUUGAUCCUGGCUCAGGACGAACGCUGGCGGCGUGCUUAACACAUGCAAGUCGAACGAGGUCCAACCAGUGGCAACACUGGAGAAGACCUAGUGGCGAACGGGUGAGUAACACGUGAGGAACCUUCCCCGAAGACUGGGAUAAGCCCUCGAAAGGGGGUCUAAUACCGGAUACCCCCUCCAGGUCGCAUGGCCAGGGGAGGAAAUGGUCCGCCGCUUCGGGACGGUCUCGCGGCCUAUCAGCUUGUUGGUGAGGUAACGGCUCACCAAGGCAACGACGGGUAGCUGGUCUGAGAGGACGAUCAGCCACACUGGGACUGAGACACGGCCCAGACUCCUACGGGAGGCAGCAGUGGGGAAUCUUGCGCAAUGGGCGAAAGCCUGACGCAGCAACGCCGCGUGCGGGAUGAAGGCCUUCGGGUUGUAAACCGCUUUCAGUAGGGACGAACACAGACGGUACCUACAGAAGAAGCACCGGCCAACUACGUGCCAGCAGCCGCGGUAACACGUAGGGUGCAAGCGUUGUCCGGAAUCAUUGGGCGUAAAGAGCUCGUAGGCGGCUUAGUAAGUCGGGUGUGAAACCUCCAGGCUCAACCUGGAGACGCCACCCGAUACUGCUAUAGCUAGAGUCCAGUAGGGGAGUGCGGAAUUCCCGGUGUAGCGGUUUAGUGCGCAGAUAUCGGGACGUACACCAGCGCCGACAGGCUAGCACUCUGGGCUGGUACUGACGCUCAGCAGCGAAAGUGAUCGUAGCGAACAGGCUUAGAUUCGCUGGUGAGCCUCAGUGUCAACGCAGAGCACUACGUGCGCCGUCUAUUCAACUGACUCCGUGCCGUCAUUUCCGCAUUACGUCGGGAAUUUGGCGAUUACGUACGCAAGUCUAAAUAUCACAGGAUCGGGCGGGGUCUCCCGCAAGAGGCGGAACAUGUCGCUUAAUUCGAGGUAACGCGAAUACCAUUUCUUGGGUUUCACAGGUAGGGAAAAACGGUAGCGAUAUGGUGUCUUUCGGGGUCGUACACAGGUAGUUCAUGGCUGUUUUCAGCUUAGGUCGUGUGAUGGUUGGUUAAUUCUGACAACGAGCGCAACCCGAAGGCCAUCAUGCCAGCACGUAAUGGUGGGGACUCAGGGGAGACUGCCGGGGUCAAGUCGGAGGAAGGUGGGGUCGAGUACAAGUCAUCAUGCCCCUCAGUCCCAGUGUGCACAUGUUCUUCAAUGGUCAGUACAACGGGAAGCGAAGCCGCGAGGCGGACCCCAUCAUCAUAAGGAUAUCUCAGUUGGGAGUGCAGAAUGCAACUCCCAUUCAUGAAGUCGGACAUGCUAGUAAGAGGGGAUCUCCAUUAUUCGGCGAAUUUGUGAGGGGUUAUUGCACUCUUCGGGGAACACUCCACGAGAGUUUACAACACCCGAAGUCGGUGGGGUAACCCAUAAGGGAGCCAGCCGGCGAAGGUUGGGUAGACGAUUGGGGAGCAGUCGUAACAAGGUAGCCGUACCGGAAGGUGCGGCUGGAUCACCUCCUUUCU
rnacentral:rRNA from 1 species